rnacentral:lncRNA from 1 species
GAACUCCUUACCCCAGCUGCCUGGCUGCCCUCAGCUUCCCAAAGCUCAAAUAAGAGGGGCCGGCGGCGCGGGGAAGAGGAGGAGCCAGGAGGCUCGGCCGCUCCAUUCACUCAGCAGCCCAAGCCCGGCCAGGCAGCGCGCGCUGCUCCUUGGGGGCGCCCUCGCAGCUGGGGUGAGGGCGGGUCCGAGGGAGCGUCCCUCUCGGAGACACCCUCCUCUUCAACCCAACACGCGCUCUCAGCUGGCCGGUGUGGCACAACCCUCCCCCCACCUCCCCUUCUUGGCCUUCGCCAGUGUGGGAGCCUCGUCUCACUGGAGAGUCCGUUCAGGCAAGGAGAAGAACCGGGGGCCGGAGCGGAGCGUGUUUCAGAGGUGCGUAUAAAAUCCCAGGGGCGCCAGGAGGCAGCAGCGACGGCGCAGCGUGGGACGGCCAGGCGCGACGGGAGGGAAGCAACCGGUUGCAGUCCGGCCUCCUGUACCUGGCUGGCCCGGGCUGGGGCUGCAAGCUUUCCAGCCAAACUUAUGUGAAGCAAAGUAGUUGCAGUUUGACAAAGAAUGGCGUUUCAAUAAAUGACAUAGUAAUUUUUUA